rnacentral:rRNA from 1 species
GAUGAACGCUGGCGGCGUGCCUAAUACAUGCAAGUCGAGCGAAUGGAUUAAGAGCUUGCUCUUAUGAAGUUAGCGGCGGACGGGUGAGUAACACGUGGGUAACCUGCCCAUAAGACUGGGAUAGCUCCGGGAAACCGGGGCUAAUACCGGAUAACAUUUUGAACCGCAUGGUUCGAAAUUGAAAGGCGGCUUCGGCUGUCACUUAUGGAUGGACCCGCGUCGCAUUAGCUAGUUGGUGAGGUAACGGCUCACCAAGGCAACGAUGCGUAGCCGACCUGAGAGGGUGAGCGGCCACACUGGGACUGAGACACGGCCCAGACUCCUACGGGAGGCAGCAGUAGGGAAUCUUCCGCAAUGGACGAAAGUCUGACGGAGCAACGCCGCGUGAGUGAUGAAGGCUUUCGGGUCGUAAAACUCUGUUGUUAGGGAAGAACAAGUGCUAGUUGAAUAAGCUGACACCUUGACGGUACCUAACCAGAAAGCCACGGCUAACUACGUGCCAGCCGCCGCGGUAA